UAUCGUCGGUUUAUAACCAAACUGACGACAGAUGUCGUCUGAUCAUUGCCGAUAGCGCUUACUGCGCUCCUUGCGACGCCUCUUCAAAGUUUCUUAUUCAUGUCUUCCUCCUGGUUGAAAAAGAUCCGAUUACAGUUUUUCCGGGCAUGAAAACUAACAUAUAAUAGCCUGUAGAAGAACGAAGUUGUUGUCUCUUUGAAAAUUCAUAGGCAAAGAUUGUUCGUUACUGACGAGUGAAAGAAUGAAUUCUACAAUCUAAUGGCCACCCCUCAGCUGAAGUUGGCCCGGGGGCCAUCCUCUUUUUCUGUGAAAGUCACUAGGGGGCCCCUCGAUAGAAUGAGAUACGAACGAGGACUGUUGCACAAGUAUAAUGCUGGCAGAGAAAAGGGGGAUGUUUGGUAAUCGAUACUAAUUAGGACGAGGCAAAGUUUCGGUUCUGAGUGGAAAUGUAACAGAGAAGCAAGGGCUCUUUUACUUGUUCGAACGUAUAUAUACAUAUGUAUAUAAUAACUAAUUAGCGUUGAAUUAGUUCAUAUAUAUUGCUAUAAUGAUUUCAUUUACGAUGAAAAAAUUAUCAAAAUAGCCAUGAUUAAUCUCUAUUUUUGAAGUUAAAAUAAGAAUAUAGUAUGCAUUCCAUUUUUAUAAUCAAAAUAAAGAAAAACUGGAAUAAAAAUUCUAUUAUUUGUUUCAAAAUUAUAUAUGAGCUAUUGAUAGUCUAAGCAUCUUCUGUGCUUCUAUUUUAAUGGGUUAUGUAUAAAUCAUUAAAAACAAUAAAAAUUAUCACAAAUAACUAA